rnacentral:rRNA from 1 species
GACGAACGCUGGCGGCGUGCUUAACACAUGCAAGUCGAACGGAAAGGCCCUACGUUUGUGUGUUGCUCGAGUGGCGAACGGGUGAGUAAAACGUGAGGAACCUCCCCUUGUAAGUGGGAGAACUUCAGGAAACUGGGGCGAAUACCGCAUAGGAGCUCCUGCUGCGUGGGGGGGAUAGGAAAGAGUCGGCGGUGGGGGAUGGACUCGCGGGUUAUCAGCUUGUUGAUGGGGUAGUGGAUUACCAAGCCUUUGACGGGUAGCAGGCCUGAGAGGGUGAGAGGCCACAUUGGGACUGAGAUGAGGCCCAGAUUCGUACGGAAGGCAGCAGGGGGGAAUAUUGCAGAAUGGGCGGCAGCCUGAUGAAGAAACGCCGCGUGCGGGAUGACGGUCUUCGGGUUGUAAACCGCUUUCGCCUGUGACGAAGCGUGAGCGACGGUAAUGGGUAAAGAAGCACCGGCUAACUAAGUG